rnacentral:rRNA from 1 species
AUGAUUAAAGAUAGCUUGCUAUUUUUAUGAAGAGCGGCGAACGGGUGAGUAACGCGUGGGAAAUCUGCCGAGUAGCGGGGGACAACGUUUGGAAACGAACGCUAAUACCGCAUAACAAUGAGAAUCGCAUGAUUCUUAUUUAAAAGAAGCAAUUGCUUCACUACUUGAUGAUCCCGCGUUGUAUUAGCUAGUUGGUAGUGUAAAGGACUACCAAGGCGAUGAUACAUAGCCGACCUGAGAGGGUGAUCGGCCACACUGGGACUGAGACACGGCCCAGACUCCUACGGGAGGCAGCAGUAGGGAAUCUUCGGCAAUGGGGGCAACCCUGACCGAGCAACGCCGCGUGAGUGAAGAAGGUUUUCGGAU